AUUGAACGCUGGCGGCAUGCCUAACACAUGCAAGUCGAACGGGGCAGCAAUGCCUAGCGGCGGACGGGUGAGGAAUACGUAGGAAUCUACCCUUAAGUGGGGGAUAACCAGGGGAAACCCUGACUAAUACCGCAUGAUCUCUUCGGAGCAAAGAGGGGGACCGCAAGGCCUCUCGCUUCUGGAUGAGCCUACGUCUGAUUAGCUAGUUGGUAGGGUAAAGGCCUACCAAGGCGACGAUCAGUAACUGGUCUGAGAGGAUGAUCAGUCACACCGGAACUGGGACACGGUCCGGACUCCUACGGGAGGCAGCAGUGGGGAAUAUUGGACAAUGGGCGCAAGCCUGAUCCGGCAAUGCCGCGUGUGUGAAGAAGGCCUUCGGGUUGUAAAGCACUUUAGCCUGGAAAGAAAAAACUUUGGUUAACACCCAAAGUCUUGACGGUACCAGGAGAAUAAGCACCGGCUAACUCUGUUCCAGCCGCCGCCGUAAUAC
rnacentral:rRNA from 1 species